rnacentral:rRNA from 1 species
UCCGUAGGGGGCAAGCGUUGUCCGGAUUUAUUGGGCGUAAAGCGCGCGUAGGCGGCAAGGUAUGUCGUGCGUGAAAUCUCCCGGCUUAACUGGGAGGGCCGUGCGAAACUGCCUGGCUUGAGGUCGGAAGGGGAAAGUGGAAUUCCGGGUGUAGUGGUGGAAUACGUAGAUAUCCGGAGGAACACCAGCGGCGAAGGCGGCUUUCUGGUCCGAUUCUGACGCUGAGGCGCGAAAGCGUGGGGAGCGAUCCGG